rnacentral:rRNA from 1 species
AACGAACGCUGGCGGCGUGUUUAAGACAUGCAAGUCGCACGGGAUCAUUUUGGUAGCAAUACUCGGAUGGUCCAGUGGCGCACGGGUGAGUAACACGUGAAUGACAUGUUCUUCAGUGGGGGAUAGCCCAGGCAAACUUGGAUUAAUACCCCAUGGUAUCGCGAGAUUAAAGGUGGCCGCAAGGCUGUCGCUGGAGGACUGGUUCGCGUUCUAUCAGCUUGUUGGCGGGCUAACGGCCCACCAAGGCUACGACGGAUACCUGGUCUGAGAGGACGAUCAUGCACAGUGGAACUGAGACCCGGUCCAGACACCUACGGGUGGGAGCAGUCGGGAAUAAUUCGCAAUGGGGGCAACCCUGAUGGGGCAACGCCGCGUGGGGGAUGAAGGUCUUCGGAUUGUAAACUCCUGUCAUCCGGUAGCAAGACCUGACGGUUAACAGCCGGCAGGGUUGAUAGUCCCGGAAGAGGAAGGGACGGCUAACUUCGUGCCAGCCGCCGCAGUAAGAC